GGGGAAUUUUGCGCAAUGGACGAAAGUCUGACGCAGCAACGCCGCGUGGAGGAAGAAGCUCCUUUGGAGUGUAAACUUCUGUUAAUUAGGAAGAAAAGAUAGUAGUUAAUACCUAUUAUUUAUGACGAUACUAGUAAAGAAAGCACCGGCUAAUCUCGUGCCAGCAGCCGCGGUAAUACGAGAGGUGCAAGCGUUAUUCGGAAUUAUUGGGCGUAAAGGGCGCGUAGGCGGCUUUAUAAGUUUCUUGUUUAAGACUUCGGCCUAACUGAAGAAAAGCAAGGAAUACUGUAUAGCUAGAGUAUAAUAGAGAGAAGUGGAAUUUUCGGAGUAGCGGUUAAAUGCGUAGAUCUCGAAAGGAACGCCAAUGGCGAAGGCAGCUUCUUGGGUUAUUACUGACGCUGAGGCGCGAAGGCAUGGGGAGCAAAC
rnacentral:rRNA from 1 species